CGAAGCCCCAAAACUAAUUAGAACCCCUUCCUUUAGCACCAAAUGUUGCUUCUAAUCUCUGCACUUGAGGUCGGACCAUCGAAGAGAGUGGUCGAGGUGUCGUUACUGUUGGAGCUCCAUCCGAGAACCUACUUUGGUCUGGUGAAGAUCUCCCGGUGCUCAAGUUAGGAGAUGAAGAACAAUGAGAAGGAGAGAGUGAGAGUAGAGAACUUACUUUGAGAGUCUCUAUGCUCUUAUAUUUAUAGGGGAGAAGUUGGAGUCGUACAUGUUUUAGAGUCCCAAUUGUCUUUCGAAUUUGGCAUGUAGAUUGAUUCGGAGAGAUUGUUUUCUUUUAUGGGAGACUCGAUCAUGAAAGAACUCUUCCUUAUCCAGACUUUCUCAAUUUAGCAGAGAGACAAAUUCUGUUAAUGGAGAUUUUUUGAUUGUAGCUCGAUCCUGGCCGACCUGACAUGACUCAUCCAAAGCCGACAUGAGCUUCUCGGUGCAAGCCGAGGAUCAAGGUCCUAGCAUUUACUAUCAGUACAAUAUGGCAUAUCCGGCAAUCUUUGGAUUUAUCUUCUAUAGCUCGAUCAGUACCGAGGAUGCAUUUGAUCGAGGCCAAGGUGGAGAUCCACAACAAGUACCAACCUCUUCGUAUUGCAACUUUGAAGAACUUCCAAUCCUUGCAACAUAUGCCAUGGGUAGCUUCCUAUAGAUUCCUUUCGG
rnacentral:lncRNA from 1 species